UCCUCUGUUGAGGGAUUAGGUUACAGCUUUGGGUUUCCUUUCUAGUCGUUUCAGACAAAGGGUUGUAGCUGUUGGUAGGAAGUUAUGUAUGGCCAGUAAGAUUCAUAGGUAAGUAUUAUUUAUGAGCCACUGUGUUAAACAUGGGAACCAAGGCAAUAGUCACUGCUGGCAUGACUCACUGCAGAAAUGGAGAAACUUUAAAAACAGCAGGGCUUUGGGAGGUGGUUUGCAGAGAGGCAGGAAGAGCUCAAGCACCAGGGUAGAUGGAUCUGGUUUCUCUUCCAGUCUCACUGCCAACUGGCUGUGUGACCUAGGACAAGCCACUUCUCCUCUGCCAACAUCUGUCCAGCAUUUACCAAGAGGGUAUCAAAGAACCUCCCUUACAGGCUUGUUGCAGAAAUUAAAUGAGAUAAUGGCCAAGGCUCCUGGGAGGCACUCCCUAAAUGACUACGCCCAGUGGAUCUGGUAGAAUCAAAGUUCACAAUAGAUCCCUUCAUGCUAACUCUUCUCCUUUAUGUUUAAAAGAGGAAAUCAAUACAUGGUCAUCAUAAAGAAAAUUCACCAGCCUUUGACUUUCCAAGAGAAUCCAGCAAACACCCACCCACUCUGUGGGGGAAGCCAUCUCACUGUACUAGAAACUAUUAAACCAUUGUAGAUUAAUGAUUCAUUAAUUUUAAUGAGACCUGAAGAGACCGGGAAAACAAGGGAAACUGACAGCAAUAGGAUGAAAGGAAAGUGCAUGAGAGAAACCCGGAAAACCACUGAAUGUUGCCUUUAAUACCUGUGAGAUGGUCUGUCUCUGAAGGCGACCGCGCCCAGGUGGGUCCUGACGAUCCUCAGAGCUCACCAGAGUGAGCUGCCAGGGGAAGGCUCCGAGCAACAGGUUCCACACCUGUAACAAUGCGCCCUCUGGGCUGAGUGAAAGCAGCCUCGCUACCAGCUGCAAGGAGGAACUGGCCUCUCCCCUCCUUAGAGAUAUUUCCAGUGAUUUGUUUAUGAAAAAGCCUAAAGGGAAGCCAGUUCAGAAUCUAAGGCAGCCUAAGAACAAGUCAGGACGCAUGAAUUUUGACUGUGAUAUCCAAUAGAUGGGUCAUGGGAGCACGAUAUGUUUGAUAUUGACUCACAGCAUAUACAGCCUCCUGGAGAGCCUCGUGCCAGCCCUGCAAGAUAUUGUCACCUCGCUGGUUCUGUGAGUAUUUAAAAGGCAAUUGCACUGUUCUAGGAAGACAGCCGCUUCAGGACGGUGGGCAAUGUUGUAAGACGUGAAUUCCUUGAACGUGGGCCUGUUGCUGCACUUCUUUUGCAGUGAAGUGAGUUCUCAGAUUGGAAGAAGUGCUGUGUGGAAUACCAUUAUUAUGAUAAAACGUUCUGUAAGUCUUCAAAUGCUAGUUUUGGCAGAAACAUUGUGUGCAGGGAGGGCAAAUCCAUGCCUAAAGUAGGCGUCUAUUCCAGUAAGAGCAAAAUAAUGUUCCUUUUAUGGUAGAAGUGGUUCAAUAUAAUCAAUCUACCAGUAGGAACUGGCUGAUCUUGUGGAGAAUGGCCCCAUAUUGGUAGCUCAGUGUUGGUCUCUGCUUUAGCUGAUUGUGCUCUCAGCAGUGGUCAUAGCCAGGUCAGCCUUGGUGAGUGGAAGUCCACAUUGCUGAACCCAUGUGCAACCUCCAUUCCUGCCAUCCUGGCCAGUUGGGUGGUGAUGGGGUGGUUGGAGAAAGAGGCUGACUGGUAUCCAUAGAGCAGAUCAUCCUAUCCACUUAGUUGUUGAAAUUCUCCUCUGCUAAGGUUACCAUCUGGUGAGCAUUCACAUGAAACAGAAAUAUCUUCAUGUGUUUUACCCAGAGAGAUUUAUCCACAUACCCCUUCAUCAAAUGUCCUUGUCACUAAUUUUCUAAUCAUGUUCCUUCCAAGUCCCUGACCAUCCAGCCAAACCAUUGGCUAAAGCCCAUGAAUCAGUGUAUAAUUACAUAUCUGUCCAUUUCUCCUUCCAAACCAAAUGAACAGCCAGGUGCACUCCCUAAUGUUCUAUCCACUGGGAAGAUUUCCCUUCACCACUGUCCUUCAGGAUGUUCGAAAAAUGGGUAGUAGUGCUGUAGCUGUUAACUUUUGGGUGGUGGUGUGAGAUAUUGAGAGUCUGGUUUGAGGACAUAGCAAUGGAAAGAGUACAGGUAGUUGUAAGGGCUAGUGAGUGGAAGAACUAGUAGAGAACUGCAUAUUAUGCAGAACCAUCAUAAACUAAGCCUGAGUCUUCCUCUGUCAACCAAUCAUAGGAAACUCCCUCUGAGACCAUAGGUGCAGGCUGGGAGAGAGAAGGCAUGUAGCAGGAAGGGGGUCAAAGGGCAUUAAGCCACUUCUUAUAACUUACUUGUGCCUUCAGGUCCUGCUUGGGCCCAAUCAUAUAUAUGGCACUUCCACUUGAUGAUGGAGUGCUGCCGUACACAUCCAUCUUUAUGAUGUGGUGGGUCAGACAAAUCCCAGUUCAUGAUGGGCAGCUCAGGUCACAGGGUAACUCAGCCUCAGGGUAACUCACCACCUCCUUGUUCCAAAAUUCUAAUAAUCUGAGCUGCAAUUCACCUAUGUGGGCCUGAAGAAGGCUCUGAACAACAUACCCAUCUUCCAUGGACACUUCAAGUACCAUAAGAUCUGCUAGAUCCCAUGGCCCAAGUGGAGGGCCAGCUUGACAGCAGCCUGGACCUGUUGCAGAAUCUUCUUUUAUUCUAGGCCCCACUCAAAACUAGCAGCUUUUUGGGUCACUUGGUAAGAGGGCCGGAGUAGCAUACCAUUUCUCAUUUCUUGAAUGAGAAACAUAUUGUCUUCAACAUUCUCUUGAAGAGACGUAGAAGGGCUUGGCAGUGAGAGCAGCAGAUUAGAAAGCAGAAAUGGACAUAAUGGCAGUAAUUUUUUAAUAAAAUGUAUUGGGUUAAUAAGAUAGUUCAUCUUUCUUUACCAUAGUUUCCCUACUGUACAUAGAAAAAGACACGGAACUUAAUUUUGACCGUUAAAAUCUAAAAUUACAGUUUUACAGUAUAAAAAUAAUGGAAAUCCAUUCACUCGAGAUGUUCAUUGGACAGCCAUGAUAUGCACAGCACCAUAAUGGUUGUCAUGAAAUACCCAAAAUGUAUAAUCUACCCCUAUUUUUGAGGCACCUAACGCAGGGUCCUGCACACAGCAGUUACUUAAUAAAUGUUACUUGAAGGCCCCAUUUUUCACAAAGUUGAAAAUGUAUUUGAGGAAACUAAACGACAACUCGAUAGAAUCAAUAGUGGCGUGGCAGUCCUGCAGCCAUUUGUUUGUUGCACAGUUGGUUUUGAACAAACACCCAGUAGGUUGCUCAAGCAGAGAGAACCUCUUGGGCAAUGGUGGCUUCAGGAAGCCUCAUAGGACUUACAGAGAAUACAUGGAAAGAAAAGAAGGUGCUCAGGCAGGGCAAAUAGCCACUGGAUCUUGCGCAGUUUGUGGGAGUGGACCAUCCACCUGCAGAAAAGGGCUUGUGUUGAGAAAUAAUGAAAGGUGCACCUGUAAGAAGUUUGGGGCAUCUACUUUGGCCCUGAGCUAUGACAUGGGAACUUUAUUCUUUGUCUUGUCAAUACUGGCUGUCUUUGUGGUUGUGCAGAGGAGUGACAAGUUUAAAGCAGCACUUGAGAAAGAUCUACUUGGUGUCAACAAAAGCAAUGAACUCGAAAGGACCCAAAUUGGAAACAAGUUACUAUUAAGAUAUUUUCAGCAUAGUCUUGGUGUUGAGGAAGUAUCAGUGAAAAUAGGACAGAGAGUUGUAAAGGCCAGUCAGUGGAGGAAAUAAGAGAAUUAAUAGAGCCUGGUAAUUGGAGAGAGUAAGGUGGGGAAAAGGAAGAAUGAAAGACAAGUACAUUGGAAGCUUGGGUGGCUGAAAGAAUAAAGUAACUUUAAGAAAAGAACAGAAGAACGGAAAGAUAAGUAACAAGUAAAAGAGAAGAAUAAAGAAAGAGAAGCCAGAUAAAAAGGAAAAAUCAAUUAUUUUAAUUUUACACUAAUAUAAGAUAUUAUUAUUAAUGGCACAGCACCUAAUUAUGUAUUUACAUAAUACCUUACAGUUCACUGGGCACAUCCCCAGAUACAACAUGUCAUUUGUGAUGAAGCUAGAAUAGUACACUAGAAAGACAUGGGUGGUUAGAAGAAUGUAAAUACAGUUGGAAGAGAGGGGAGGGAUGUAACAACAAUAGCUUAGAAAGUCCUCCACGUGGAAGUAUACUGAGCAAAUAGCACAUAAUGAUCCAUUUCGCUCUCUGUUUAAUUCUUAUUUGUGUUAUUUAAAGUCGUAUAUCUAUAAUUGAAUCCAUUAAAUCUUUAAUGUUCAUUUCUUUUCCUCAAUAACUGAGCUGUACUUUGAAAUAUCAACCAGUGUUUUGAAAUAAUGCUUCAAAUGUUUUUAUCCUAAGUUUUAGCAUACUUUUUUCUUUUAUAUAUAAUGUAUAUGUAUAAUUUCUUAUAUAUGUAGUGUGUGUGUGUAUGUGUGUGUGUGUGUGUGUGUAUUUCCAUUUGAAGAUUCAGCAGCAUACUGGAUCAAAACCAAAACAGGAUCUGCUAUUGAAUGUUUUUACCAGCUAGAGCUGGGGAGAAUGAUUGGCAAACUGAAUUGCAGUGGUAUUAUUAAAAUUCAUGAACCGGAGAAUUACCAAUGUGUAAUAUUCAAAAAUGCAGUGGGUGCUAAGUAUCUUUGACACAUUCCUUAAAGCUUUAACCAUCUUGGGAAAAAAAUGUUAGAAGUCUGUCAGAAACAUAUUGGAUUUUCCUAAAGCAUAUGGUGAUGAAAUAGUAUAUCAUUUUAUGAGAAAAUAUUGUCAUACUGGCUUCCUGGCCCAACAUGUCAUAGUCAUUUUAUAUUUCUAUUUUGUAGUUAUCUUUCUUUUGUGCUCUUUAUUUUAGGAUGAAUUGCUUUCCUGGUCUUGGAAGAAUGUCAUUGUUUCACCCCCUCUCUUUCUUUUGGCCGUUCCUUUGUUUUUAUUCUUCCUCCAAGAGUCUUUUGUUCUCUACAAUAGUUUUUAUAUAGUGUUUCAAGACUGAAAGGUGUGUGCUUUGAUUAAAUUUUUGUUUUGACUACACUAAGAGCGUUUUUAUCUUCCCUUUCUCCACCCCAUGGUUUGUGUGUUGCUGCUGUUUCAUCCUCUUUCUGAAGUACUUGCUUUCAUCCCAGACCUGGCUGGAUUGUAAGAAUGGAAGUGGUUGUUCUCUAGCUUGCAUUUGAAAAAAAAAUCCAUUUUUAUUUCAAGAGGAUGAUGGACACACACAAAAAAUGUAUGCCACUGGGCCCUUUUACCACAUUUUCUGUUUGGUCCCCUUGGGCUCUUUCAAAACAUUGAGCAUGUUCCCAGAAUUGGUCAAAACCACAUUGCCCAGUUGCAGGCGAAGCUGCGGGUUGGCAUCCUCUCUGGGAGUGGCUGGUUGGUAAGCUCAAUUUCCAAAUUCCUGGAACUGUCAUAUUAAUCUGUAUUUUAAGGCAACAAAGGAGAAAUGCAUCCUUCUCCAAGGGCUUUUAUUGUCUUAGAGUUUCAGAAGCUAUGUCGGCAUUUUUAGUUGGCUGUGAAUUUCAACAGCCAACUAUGUAUACUCUCAGUGUUCAGACCUGGUGAGCUUGGAUAAAUUGUUCCUCAGCAGGGUUCCUUACUUGAGGCAGCUGUAAUGAAACUCAUCAUAUUCCUCUGUAGCACACUUCAGCUGGUCUACACCAUGGUUGUUGGAGAAAGACUUCUCUUGGACUUGAGGCAAGAUGGAAGUGUGAAGUUUCAGUCUGUGCAGGGUAGUUAGAAACAGUGUGUCAGACAAACAUUUCCCACAAGCCAAUAAAUUUCCAGAAGAAUGAUUUAGCUAUGAGCCAUCUAAAAAUACUGUUUAAAAAAUCUAUAAGCAUUAUUUAAAAAAUAUCAUUAGGUGAGCACAUUUUAGAGAAGACGUUUGAAAACGAAGAGACAAAAUAAAAUGGUAUUCAUUCAAACUCACUCCUGACUCACAUUGGAAAUGUUAUUGAAUUUUCUUGAUUUUAAAGAGAUUUCUAUAGAUGAUAGAAACUUGCUAUAAUGUCAUAACUUUUUCUUUUUGUAAAAGAAGUUAGCAGAAAUGAAAAUCUUCCCUGAAACUACCCUCUAGUGCAGGACUGCCACCAAGAAUCAAAAUCCAGGAUGAGAGUCAAUUACAGAUGGUGUCAUUGAAGUAGGGUGGGCAAGAAUGGAAAACAUGGGUUUCUUAGAAAUGUGUACAUAAAAUGAAAGGGCACUGAGCACAACUGUGACGAGGACGCUGGCUUUCUUUUCUGUGCUUUCCUUCCUCAUUUCUUUCCUUUUGCCUUUUCUUCCUCAGUUUCCCUACUUUUUCCAUUCAAUCUGUUCUCUAUGACAGUAACCAAUGUAUCUUUUACUUUGUGGUUUGUUCAUUUGGGACCUGAAUCACUCUUAAAGCACUUAGAUUGACUUAUAAAUGUCAUUGAAAUAUCUGAAGUAUAAUACCGUUGGGGCAAAAAUUAUUUUCUUUCAUAAAAUUAAUUUAAAAAUAGUUGAAUUCCACCAUAUCCUUUCAUUUUCCAUCUUGGAGCCACUUUGUUACCUCAGUUAUACCCUGCUUAGAAGCUUCCAUGUUUCUACUAGUGCCAGUUCCUCCUUCUAGAAUAUAAUUUAUCCCAUUUCUCACUCAUUGGAAUCCUUCCUAUUGGUUGAAGCCUAACUCAAAUCUCACUUCUUCUGGAAGGCCUUCUUUCAACAGAUAUUUAUAGAGGGCCUUCCUCAUGCCAAGUAAUAUUCUAAGGGCUGGGGACAUGCAGUGAACAAGGUGGGCAAAGUCCCGGCUCACAUGGAGUUUACAUUCUGAGAGCUGGAGAUAGCCAUUGUUAAAUAACAAAAAAAGUAGAUAUGUAACAUGUCAGGUGUUAUAACUACAAUAAGGUAAACUAAAGGAGAGUCAUGGGCUAAAAAGUGAUGGGGAAAGACCAGAGAGAAGAAUAUAUUUAUUCUUCAUUUUGUGCUUUGGUAACAUGUAAUCCUAUCUUAAAAACUACAUACCUUUUCAUACAUGAGGAAAUGACAUAAAUGUCUUAUGUGUUGUAAGCUACGUGUAGACAUGAAGUUAUGUAGCUUUGCAUUCACCAGUGCCUUGUAUACAACAGGCAUAUAAUCAAUGAGAAUGAAAUGACAUCGGCAACAGAUAGGAAGCUGAUGCUUUAUCCACAGCACCAUCAGUACAUGUUGGUGUCUUUUGAUGCAAGUCAUGUCAAGAAGUGGAAAAUAUCUUGUCAAUUAACUGGGGAGCAGGAAAUGAUGAUGAAGGCCAGAAAUCAAUCUUUCAAGGCUGGAAGUGUAUCAGUGGCAGAGGUUAAAGGAACUGAUCCAAAGAGGUAGGCACACAACUGAGCAUAUGCUGGGAAGGAUAAAGGAUGAGGAAAAGGAGAGCCUGGUGGCCACAUCAGUGGACCAUAAUAGGCAUCACUGUUGAUACUAAACUAGUAAAGAUCCCUCCUUCUCAGCCCCCUUGAGUGACUCUAAAGACUCUCAAAGUCUGGGGUUUUGAAUGCCACACUGAAUUUUUAGCUUCCAUUAGGUACCCUUUAUUUUACUGCAUUAAUUGUCUUACAUGGAAUUCAAUGUUAAACACCAUUUCCUAUUAAUUAAGCAUCUUUUUAAAAUAAACUUUUGAUAAGAGUGCUAGCAAGUCCAGAGAGCUAGGAAACCAGAAGAUCAGUAUUCCAGCUGUUUCUAGAAGUGUUAGCAUGGGACAGUAAGGCAGUGAGAGGUAGGCCAACAAUGGGAGUAUUCUGUGUAAGUAGUUACUAAGAAAUUUGUGGUAGGGCGUAGCACCACAGAUAUUAGAAACAACUUUUCACAUGAACAGGACAUAUGUAGAAUUUACAAUGAACCAUGCACUAUUCUAAGUGCUUACUUAUGUUAACCAAGCCCAAUCUAUAAGCUAGGUUUUUCGUCAUGUCUACUUUACAAAA